UCCAAGCAGUUUGAACAAUCGAUUGGACACCACUCUAAAGCAUCCGUGCACCACACACCUUGACACGAUGGAUUACAAUCAUGUUUUCCUGUGGAAAGUCAUGUCUCCUUCUCAUUUCUAUGUACAACCAUGCAAAUUCAUCACAAAUCUUGAUGAGCUUGAGAAGAACAUAGAGAAUGCAGUACGAAGGCAAACACUUAAAAAGCUGAAAUCUGUGCAUACUGGAGUGCUCUGCAUUGCACGUUGCAGCAACAAUGGAUUCUGAAACCUGUUGUGUGAACAACUUGCUAGAGCCACUUCCAUGGAUGCUGCUGCUGCCCUAUCAGGCCCUUUCAUGCAGCCUGGCUGGUAUUGGCCCCACGUCAGAGGAGUGGAGUCCAAAGGCACAGAGUGUUCUCGAAGACUUUGGCUAUGAUAAAAAUUUCAACCGCGCCU